rnacentral:lncRNA from 1 species
CCCGGUUCACCGUCAGCGACGACCCACGCCACAGGCUCCCGACCCCUUCCUGGCGGGCCAUUCGCCCGAUGGCGUCGAGCACGCUCCGGUAGUUCCGGCGCUCAGCGGGGGGAAGCCGCCCGUCGGCUUGCAUCCGGACCAUGGCCACGUCGGCGGGGUUCCCGACCGCCGCCCCGAUCCCACCGGCGAUGAGGCCGGCGGCGAUCUUGCGAUGAAGCGGGAGGGACGCACCGUCGCCGGACGCGGACCAGCGCUUCUUCAGCAUGUCGUAAAGGCCCAU